rnacentral:tRNA from 1 species
AAAGUAGAAGUUUCUAUAAUAUUUGACCUGCAAUCAGAAGAAGAUAAAUAAUAUUAUCCUACUUUG